rnacentral:lncRNA from 1 species
AUGAAUAUUUUAUUAAGUCUAAUCCCUUUUCAUUAUUUUCUGCCUGACAGAAGUAAAAUGAAUGAUCUAUCUGAAGGUAUGCGGAACCACCUACAGUUUUUGAAAGAAAUACUCAGAGGUGAAAGUGAGGCUCCACAGGGCAAGCUCACAAAUUUGGAUAGAACCAAAAUGGAACAAUUGGUGAACUCUGUGAAAAACAAUCUUAGUGAAAUGAAUGAUCAAUUAGAAGAUAUGCUGAAACACCUACAGUUUUUGAAAGAAAGAUUCAGUACAUCUGUGCCCUACAGAGGAGAAAGUGAGGCUCCACAAGGCAAGCUCACAAAUUUGGAUGGAACCAAGAUGGAACAAUUCGUGAACUCUGUGGAAGACAAACUUAGUGAAAUGAAUGAUCAGUUAGAAGAUAUGCUGAAACACCUACAGUUUUUGAAAGAAAGAUUCAGAGGUGAAAGUGAGGCUCCACAGGGCAAGCUCACAAAUUUGGAUAGAACCAAAAUGGAACAAUUGGUGAACUCUGUGAAAAACAAUCUUAGAAGUGAAAUGAGCACUCUAUAUGAAGAUAUGGGGAAAUACCUACAGUUUUUGAAAGAAAGACUCAGGGAGCUUCCCAAAAUGGUCAGCGCAGAAGAGUUUCAUCAGAAGGAAGAAGAAUGUGAAAAGCUGAAGGAACAGAAGAGAGUCUUGGAGCAAAAAUUGGACCUUGUCUUGGCCAAUGCAAUGAGAAGCCAUAAGUUCUCUGAGAACUUGAAUGACCCCUGUCGAUUAUCAGCUGUGUUGGAGAUGUACGACAGGCUCAGGAUACAUGAAUGGGAGAAAGCCAAAUGUGCUGCAAGUGUCUCCACCUUUCCAAUGACGUAUGAAAAAGGUAGCACGAUAAUUAAGGCUGUGUUUUCCAUAUGUGAAGAAGAGCUGUCACAAAGACUGGAGCGAAUUUUUGAACUCCUUGAGAUUCCAGUUUUGAAGAAAACCACAAGCCUCUUUGACAGCCAACAGCUGCCCCCUGGGCUGUCAGGAGAGAUAAAAAAUCACCUUAAACAUCUCUAUUUUAACUAUGGAGAAGACUUUUACCAAGCCAAGAGUAGGCUUGCUUUUGCUCCUGAUCAACAGAGGUUUCAGCCACUUGUAAAGUUCACAGCAAAGUGCUAUAAAAUUUACUGUUUGUUGCUUCUUCAGAACCCGCCCAUUAAAGUUAUGUGGCCUACAGACGGAAGAAUCCAAACAGCUUACAUAGAGCAUGUGGACAAGAAAGUGAUAGAAAGCUCUAUUCAAAUAAAGUUUCUGUGGCCAGUGCUGACCUGUGGGAACCAGCUAGUUAGAAAGGGUGUAAUCUAUGAUUAAAAGUAGUGGCUGUUUGGAGUCAAAUUAAACCCCUGUGUUGAAAAGCAAUAAAAAGCAAGUAAACCUGCA